AAUAUUGGGACAUAUAAAAAAAGAAAAUUCUGUUCCUCAGAGUAGCUGUUGACAUUAUAGUUGCACAGGCACUUUGUUGACUCUAGAGAACCUCGGGCCAAUUGCACAUCCCCGUGACGGCGACUUUGCAUUCGGAUGUCAUCCAUAUCAACUUUCGAUGCCAGUUUCUGUGCCUACCAUGGUGACCAUGGGUAACGGGGAAUCAGGGUUCCAAUCCGUACAGGGACCCUAAGAAACGGAUACCACAUGCAAGGAAGGCAGCAGGCGCGCAAAUGACCCACUCCCGACGCGGGAAGGUAGUGA